CCUACGGGAGGCAGCAGUGGGGAAUAUUGGUCAAUGGGCGCAAGCCUGACCCAGCCACGCCGCGUGAAGGAAGAAGGCUCUCGGGUUGUAAACUUCUUUUAUCAGGGACGAAGUAAGUUACGGUACCUGAUGAAUAAGCCACAGCUAACUACGUGCCAGCCGCCGCGGGAAUACGUAGGUGGCAAGCGUUAUCCGGAUUUUAGGGGUGUAAAGGGCGGGUAGGGGGGAGUGCAAGUCAGAUGUUAAAACUAUGGGCUCAACCCAUAGCCUGCGUUUGAAACUGUACUUCUUGAGUGCUGGAGAAGUAAUCGGAAUUCCGUGUGUAGCGGUGAAAUGCGUAGAUAUACGGCGGAACACCAGUGGCGAAGGCGGAUUGCUGGACAGUAACUGACGCUGAAGCGCGAAAGCGUGGGUAGCAAACAGGAUUAGAUACCCCAGUAGUC
rnacentral:rRNA from 1 species